rnacentral:other from 1 species
GAAGCUCUGUUGUGUACGCCUUGUCUAUCUAGCAGGUUUGCCUUACAGUCUUAUUACUUUGGGACGCGUGCUUUUGUUUAGUUUACGACAUGCCUUUUCUCUUGGUAGCCGAAUGCUAAACUGCCAUGUCCCACCUGUCUUACACACAGGUCAACACUGUCGGACAAUUAACGGCACGAACGGAGCUUGA